rnacentral:rRNA from 1 species
UACAGAGGUGGCAAGCGUUGUUCGGAAUUACUGGGCGUAAAGGGCGCGUAGGCGGCUUGGUCAGUCCCGUGUGAAAUCCCUCGGCUCAACUGAGGAACUGCACGGGAAACUGCCUGGCUUGAGUUCGGGAGAGGGAAGCGGAAUUCCGGGUGUAGCGGUGAAAUGCGUAGAUAUCUGGAGGAAUACCGGUGGCGAAGGCGGCAUCCUGGACCGGCAUUGACGCUGAGGAGCGAAAGCCAGGGGAGCAAACGGG